UAAGCCAUGCGAGUUGAAUGGGAAACCUAAAAAUCCCAUGGCAAACUGCUCAUUAACACAUGAUCAACUUACCCUAUAGAGGAAAAUAACCUCGGGAAACUGAGGAUAAUGUUCCAUAGUUGAAUCGGCUUGGAAAAGUUUUUCAAUAAAAGGGAUAAGGAAAAUGGUCCUUAUCUGCUAUAGGAUAGGAUCGUGCUCGAUUAUGGUUGUUGGUGUGGUAAAGGCUCACCAAGCCGAUAAUCGAUAGGGGCCGUGAGAGCGGGAGCCCCGAGAUGGGUACUGAGACAACGACCCAGGCCUUACGAGGCGCAGCAGGCGCGAAACCUCCGCAAUACACGAAAGUGUGACGGGGUUACCCAAAGUGUUCAUUAGAACUGUGGUAGGUGAGUAAUGUUCCCUACUAGAAAGGAGAGGGCAAGGCUGGUGCCAGCCGCCGCGGUAAAACCAGCUCUUCAAGUGGUCGGGAUAAUUAUUGGGCUUAAAGUGUCCGUAGCCGGUUUAGUAAGUUCCUGGUAAAAUCGGGUAGCUUAACUAUCUAUAUGCUAGGAAUACUGCUAUACUAGAGGGCGGGAGAGGUCUGAGGUACUACAGGGGUAGGGGUGAAAUCUUAUAAUCCUUGUAGGACCACCAGUGGCGAAGGCGUCAGACUGGAACGCGCCUGACGGUGAGGGACGAAGGCCAGGGGAGCGAACCGGAUUAGAUACCCGGGUAGUCCUGGCCGUAAACGAUGCAUACUAGGUGAUGGCACGGCCAUGAGCCGUGUCAGUGCCGUAGGGAAACCGUUAAGUGUGCCGCCUGGGAGGUACGGUCGCAAGGCUAAAACUUAAAGGAAUUGGCGGGGGAGCACCACAAGGGGUG
rnacentral:rRNA from 1 species